AUUUUGAAAGCUGUCCUACAGUGGGUAAAAUGCUAUCAAAUAGCAUCGCAUGCUACAAAGAAGUCUUUCAUGAAAGGAAGACUCAAAUUCCUUGCGGGAAACAUCUUUGUUGUUUGCCACCCCAACCUUCCGCAACCACUGCCCUGAUCAGUCAGCAGCCUUCAAAUUGUGGUUAAGGUCACCAAACCAAGCGGAUGCCUGGCUUGGGUUUUUGACAGUGGAGUCAGCGACAACAAAGACAACGGAUAAUUAGAGUUCAUUCAAACAUCCUUUGAGAUUUCCAGUAAAUCAUGGAAUUAAAAAAAAAAAGAAAUUACAGAUACAGUAAGAAAAGAAAAAGAGAAGAAAAAACAGUAGAUAAGCCACGCAAAAGUCUUCCUACCAAGAAUCAAGUUCAAAUGACUCAGCUGGUCAAUUUACUAAGACUCUUGUUCGGGAACAAGAAUCAAAGACUUAGAGAUGAUCAGUAACCUGGAGAAGUUAUACAGCAAGAAAAUCUACAUCAUGGAUUUCCCUGUAGAGUCAUGAGACAGGAAUGUGCAAAGCCAAAAGAGACAGCUGGGAAGUGUAGCAGAAGUGAGUGACCCUGCCCUUCUUGGGAGGUCAUCCUUGGAGAAAAAGCUGACACCCUCACAUCACAAAAUGUAACACCCUUGACGUCACGAUUUGUUUGGAUGCAAUUCUAUUUCAUGUUGAACCAUUAACAUGGAAUGGAAUAAAAUAGAAUGGCUAUAAUUUACUGAGUGCUUAAGGACAGUCUUUAUUAAAAGCAAUUGGAUUAAUAAUCUCUGAAUUGUCAUGAAUCUGCAAGUGUCCAGGAUUUCACAUGAAGAAGAUGAGAGAAGACAACUCAGAGCGUGGAGUGACUUCCCUUCAUUUUAAACAAGGUGUUCCAGGCUACGCUAUGGAAGUCAACUUUGUGGGAUUGAAACGUUAAGCUGGAAUCCUUUCGACUUUUAUGAAUGCAAGAGCUUGUCAGGUGGAGAAGCCAUUCAGUGAACAUGAAGUGACAAAUAUGAGGAUGAAAGCCUAUAUAGUCAGGACAGCUAAGGAGACAGCUUCAGGAGGAUGCUCCACCAUUGAUGAAGGAAGGGUCAAGAGUGAAGAAGGGAUGCUCCAUGUGGCAAUGUGACACCAAUUUUCCACGACGGGGAGGAAAAAGUCCAGUAGUUGACAAUGAAUAGGAUGCCACAACCUCUUGAGUGAAAGGUAACCUGUAUGGUGGACUCUCAAUCUCUGUAUACUCAUAAGAGAUCCACAGGGGAACAUAAAGAGAGAAGUAAAAUGUGUUCAGAAGUUUAAGA
rnacentral:lncRNA from 1 species